rnacentral:tRNA from 1 species
GCCUCUGUAGUUUAAUGGAUAAAACGACGGUCUUCGAAACCGUUAAAUGGGAGUUCAAGUCUCUCCAGAGGCACCA